UAGCAGUGAGGAAUAUUGGUCAAUAGCCUAACGGCUGAACCAGCAACUUGGAGGAACGUAUAGCGAAAGCUGUCUACAUUGAUUGUUAAUUAGUGUGGAAUUGACUGUGUCAAAUAAAGUUCGAAGUAAAUUAUGAUAAUGACAUUUUUUGCUUUUAUGUCUUGACCAAGUCACGUGCCAGCAGUCGCGGUAAUACGUGGAAGACUAGUGUUAUUCAUCUUAAUUAGGUUUAAAGGGUACUUAGACGGUGAAUUAAGCCCUAAAAGGGUACUAAUAAACUAGAGUUUUAGAUAAGAGGGGGAGUACUAGUGGAGUAGAGAUGAAAUUCUGUCAUACCAUUAUUGGAACAGAUGACAGCGAAAGCAACCCUUUAUGUAAAAACUGACGUUGAAGGACGAAGGA
rnacentral:rRNA from 1 species